rnacentral:rRNA from 1 species
GGUUAAGCGACUAAGCGUACACGGUGGAUGCCCUGGCAGUCAGAGGCGAUGAAGGACGUGCUAAUCUGCGAUAAGCGUCGGUAAGGUGAUAUGAACCGUUAUAACCGGCGAUUUCCGAAUGGGGAAACCCAGUGUGUUUCGACACACUAUCAUUAACUGAAUCCAUAGGUUAAUGAGGCGAACCGGGGGAACUGAAACAUCUAAGUACCCCGAGGAAAAGAAAUCAACCGAGAUUCCCCCAGUAGCGGCGAGCGAACGGGGAGCAGCCCAGAGCCUGAAUCAGUAUGUGUGUUAGUGGAAGCGUCUGGAAAGGCGCGCGAUACAGGGUGACAGCCCCGUACACAAAAAUGCACAUAUUGUGAGCUCGAUGAGUAGGGCGGGACACGUGGUAUCCUGUCUGAAUAUGGGGGGACCAUCCUCCAAGGCUAAAUACUCCUGACUGACCGAUAGUGAACCAGUACCGUGAGGGAAAGGCGAAAAGAACCCCGGCGAGGGGAGUGAAAAAGAACCUGAAACCGUGUACGUACAAGCAGUGGGAGCACGCUUCGGCGUGUGACUGCGUACCUUUUGUAUAAUGGGUCAGCGACUUAUAUUCUGUAGCAAGGUUAACCGAAUAGGGGAGCCGAAGGGAAACCGAGUCUUAACUGGGCGUUAAGUUGCAGGGUAUAGACCCGAAACCCGGUGAUCUAGCCAUGGGCAGGUUGAAGGUUGGGUAACACUAACUGGAGGACCGAACCGACUAAUGUUGAAAAAUUAGCGGAUGACUUGUGGCUGGGGGUGAAAGGCCAAUCAAACCGGGAGAUAGCUGGUUCUCCCCGAAAGCUAUUUAGGUAGCGCCUCGUGAACUCAUCUCCGGGGGUAGAGCACUGUUUCGGCAAGGGGGUCAUCCCGACUUACCAACCCGAUGCAAACUGCGAAUACCGGAGAAUGUUAUCACGGGAGACACACGGCGGGUGCUAACGUCCGUCGUGAAGAGGGAAACAACCCAGACCGCCAGCUAAGGUCCCAAAGUCAUGGUUAAGUGGGAAACGAUGUGGGAAGGCCCAGACAGCCAGGAUGUUGGCUUAGAAGCAGCCAUCAUUUAAAGAAAGCGUAAUAGCUCACUGGUCGAGUCGGCCUGCGCGGAAGAUGUAACGGGGCUAAACCAUGCACCGAAGCUGCGGCAGCGACACUAUGUGUUGUUGGGUAGGGGAGCGUUCUGUAAGCCUGUGAAGGUGUGCUGUGAGGCAUGCUGGAGGUAUCAGAAGUGCGAAUGCUGACAUAAGUAACGAUAAAGCGGGUGAAAAGCCCGCUCGCCGGAAGACCAAGGGUUCCUGUCCAACGUUAAUCGGGGCAGGGUGAGUCGACCCCUAAGGCGAGGCCGAAAGGCGUAGUCGAUGGGAAACAGGUUAAUAUUCCUGUACUUGGUGUUACUGCGAAGGGGGGACGGAGAAGGCUAUGUUGGCCGGGCGACGGUUGUCCCGGUUUAAGCGUGUAGGCUGGUUUUCCAGGCAAAUCCGGAAAAUCAAGGCUGAGGCGUGAUGACGAGGCACUACGGUGCUGAAGCAACAAAUGCCCUACUUCCAGGAAAAGCCUCUAAGCAUCAGGUAACAUCAAAUCGUACCCCAAACCGACACAGGUGGUCAGGUAGAGAAUACCAAGGCGCUUGAGAGAACUCGGGUGAAGGAACUAGGCAAAAUGGUGCCGUAACUUCGGGAGAAGGCACGCUGAUAUGUAGGUGAAGCGACUUGCUCGUGGAGCUGAAAUCAGUCGAAGAUACCAGCUGGCUGCAACUGUUUAUUAAAAACACAGCACUGUGCAAACACGAAAGUGGACGUAUACGGUGUGACGCCUGCCCGGUGCCGGAAGGUUAAUUGAUGGGGUCAGCGCAAGCGAAGCUCUUGAUCGAAGCCCCGGUAAACGGCGGCCGUAACUAUAACGGUCCUAAGGUAGCGAAAUUCCUUGUCGGGUAAGUUCCGACCUGCACGAAUGGCGUAAUGAUGGCCAGGCUGUCUCCACCCGAGACUCAGUGAAAUUGAACUCGCUGUGAAGAUGCAGUGUACCCGCGGCAAGACGGAAAGACCCCGUGAACCUUUACUAUAGCUUGACACUGAACAUUGAGCCUUGAUGUGUAGGAUAGGUGGGAGGCUUGGAAGUGUGGACGCCAGUCUGCAUGGAGCCGACCUUGAAAUACCACCCUUUAAUGUUUGAUGUUCUAACGUUGACCCGUAAUCCGGGUUGCGGACAGUGUCUGGUGGGUAGUUUGACUGGGGCGGUCUCCUCCUAAAGAGUAACGGAGGAGCACGAAGGUUGGCUAAUCCUGGUCGGACAUCAGGAGGUUAGUGCAAUGGCAUAAGCCAGCUUGACUGCGAGCGUGACGGCGCGAGCAGGUGCGAAAGCAGGUCAUAGUGAUCCGGUGGUUCUGAAUGGAAGGGCCAUCGCUCAACGGAUAAAAGGUACUCCGGGGAUAACAGGCUGAUACCGCCCAAGAGUUCAUAUCGACGGCGGUGUUUGGCACCUCGAUGUCGGCUCAUCACAUCCUGGGGCUGAAGUAGGUCCCAAGGGUAUGGCUGUUCGCCAUUUAAAGUGGUACGCGAGCUGGGUUUAGAACGUCGUGAGACAGUUCGGUCCCUAUCUGCCGUGGGCGCUGGAGAACUGAGGGGGGCUGCUCCUAGUACGAGAGGACCGGAGUGGACGCAUCACUGGUGUUCGGGUUGUCAUGCCAAUGGCACUGCCCGGUAGCUAAAUGCGGAAGAGAUAAGUGCUGAAAGCAUCUAAGCACGAAACUUGCCCCGAGAUGAGUUCUCCCUGACUCCUUGAGAGUCCUGAAGGAACGUUGAAGACGACGACGUUGAUAGGCCGGGUGUGUAAGCGCAGCGAUGCGUUGAGCUAACCGGUACUAAUGAACCGUGAGGCUUAACCUU